rnacentral:rRNA from 1 species
AGCGAACGCUGGCGGCAGGCCUAACACAUGCAAGUCGAACGAACCUUUCGGGGUUAGUGGCGGACGGGUGAGUAACACGUGGGAACGUGCCUUUAGGUUCGGAAUAACUCAGGGAAACUUGUGCUAAUACCGAAUGUGCCCUUCGGGGGAAAGAUCUAUCGCCUUUAGAGCGGCCCGCGUCUGAUUAGCUAGUUGGUUGAGGUAAUGGCUCACCAAGGCGACGAUCAGUAGCUGGUCUGAGAGGAUGAUCAGCCACAUUGGGACUGAGACACGGCCCAAACUCCUACGGGAGGCAGCAGUGGGGAAUCUUGCGCAAUGGGCGAAAGCCUGACGCAGCCAUGCCGCGUGAAUGAUGAAGGUCUUAGGAUUGUAAAAUUCUUUCACCGGGGACGGUAAUGACGGUACCCGGAGAAGAAGCCCCGGCUAACUUCGUG